rnacentral:lncRNA from 1 species
UUUUUUUUAUUAUUCUGAAGUAGAUAAUAGUUUUCUUUUAAUCUUGGAAUGGUCAACUGAUAAGUUGUAUGGCUGCUUACAGGUAAAUCAGUAAUUUCUAUUUGACAGUUGCGUGUAUUCUGGGUUGUGGAAUACUUUAAUUUUAUGGGAAACAUCCUGUCCAUGUGUAAUACUUAGUAUAUAUUCCAACAGAUGACAUUACACAAAUUUUUCUUCUGUUAAUGAACGAU